rnacentral:rRNA from 1 species
CAGUCCUAACACAUGCAAGUCGAACGAAGGCUUCGGCAUUAGUGGCGCACGGGUGCGUAACGUGUGGGAAUCUGCCCUUGGGUUCGGAAUAACAGUUAGAAAUGACUGCUAAUACCGGAUGAUGACGUAAGUCCAAAGAUUUAUCGCUCAGGGAUGAGCCCGCGUAGGAUUAGCUAGUUGGUGGGGUAAAGGCGUACCAAGGUGAUGAUCCUUAGCUGGUUUGAGAGGAUGAUCAGCCACACUGGAACUGAGACACGGUCCAGACUCCUACGGGAGGCAGCAGUGGGGAAUAUUGCACAAUGGGCGCAAGCGUGAUGCAGCCAUGCCGCGUGUAUGAAGAAGGCCUUCGGGUUGUAAAGUACUUUCACGCGGGGAGGAAGGUGUUGAGUUUAAUAACCUCAGCAAUUGACGUUACCCGCAGAAGAAGCACCGGCUAAUUCUGUGC